rnacentral:tRNA from 1 species
GCCUUCUUAGCUCAGUGGCAGAGCACUACUCUUGUAAACUAGGGGUCAUGAGUUCAAUUCUCAUAGAGGGCA